AGAUGUGAGGGUACCUGACUGUAACAUUUGUCACCCUAUUGAUUGCCAGGUUAAUCAGGAUGCCUAUUUCUUUCUUACUGCUCUAUGUGUGUCCCUCCUGAAGCUGUGCACUUGGUUGAAGAGGGCAACCUUCCCUGACAGAGGAGGACCAUUCUUAAGUGAAGGGUAUAUCGGUAAUUGUGCUCCCCUGAUAGACCAUCCAAACAAGCUCUGAAGGUCCAUUUGUAGGAGAACAUAGGGUAGUCAAUCCUCGAAGACUCCGGACAUGUCCAAAUGAGGUUUUGCAUGUGGCAGUCUUUCUUUCCUU
rfam:Ailuropoda melanoleuca scaffold621_4, whole genome shotgun sequence.